GUGGAGUUUCAACACACGAUUUUUGAUGCACAAUUCCUUUUUCAAGAUAGAAUUCUUUCAUGUUAAAUUCCCCUCCAUUGUCACUUCUAAUUGUCUUGAUUUUGGCUUCAAAUUGAUUUUCAAUCAUUUUACAGAACCUUUGCAAAGUAACACCAACAUUAGAUUUGCAUUUCAAGGUAUAUAUCCAAGUUCAUUUACUGUAGUCUUCUACUAUUGUUAAAAAAUAUUUUGAGCCAUCAUACGCUACUUCAUUACACGGUCCCCAAAGAUCACAAUGAACUAAAUCAAAACAUUUUGCUGACUGAUAUUGACUAGUAGGAAAAGGGGGUUUGUGCAUUUUGGCUAAAGGACAGAUCAUACAAGGCUUGCUGUUAUUUGUGGAGAUCUGAUUGCUAUUUAAGGAUUUGAGAAUGUUGAAUGAAGGAUGUCCUAAUCUGUAGUGCCAUAGAUCGAACUCUUCAUUGUGUGUGACAGCUCUGUGAUGGUUUUGGUGUUGCUUAUAAUGUCAAAGAAUGCUGAUGGUGAAAUUUCCUUUUGUUGGAGAUGGUACAGACCAUGCCGCACUUUACCCAUCCCAAUCGUUUUCCAGGUUAAAAGAUCCUGUAUAAAGCAAAAAUGAGACAGAAAAAUAAGACAGCAAUUCAAAUUGGUUGCUAGUUUUCUAGCUGAAAUCUAAUUAAAAGAGAAGGAUGGGACACAAAGUACAUCAUGCAGGAUUAACUUUUCUGAAAUUUUGCACUGUGCCUAUAUGAGUGACAGCAACACCAUUCCCAUUAGGGAGUGUGAUUAAGUGGGAAACUUGUGCCACAAUGUUAGUGAAGAAGGAGAUGUAACAGAUCAUAUGAUCUACGGCACCUGUGUCUAUGAUCCAAGGUGUUAUAGCUUGUGUCUUGGAUUUUGAUGCAAACGCAGAGAGACAUAGAGAUAUACCAGAAACAUUAAGCAAUUGAUCCUCAGUAGUGCAAGGAGUGAUGACUGAACAAACUUGGCUUGCCAAAUGAGUUGAUGGUGAAACACUCUGGUUGUUGAGAAGUGCUAUGAACUGAGUGUAUUGCUCCUGUGUAAUGGGAGAAUGAGCUCUCCUGGUAACCUGAUUUACAGAAUGAUAGGGGGGUUUAACUUUGUUGUAGAGCUUGUGUCCUUGGGGUAUCCAUGGAUUUUGAAGCAUUUGUCUAUGCUAUGACUAGGAAAGUUACAGUGGGAACACAUUGGUAUCUUAGAAUUAGCCUUGAGGCAUCUUUCCAGUGAGUGCCCUGCAAUUUUACAAUGAGUGCAAAAAUACUUAGCAUUUAGAUUAGUUGAGUGCUGAUUUCCAUUUCGGAUUCCACGAGUCAUCAUUGCCAUGAAGUCAUUGGUUGGAGAGUCCAUUGAAAUCUGCCUUCUCUUUUCUUCUUGUUGUAUAAUAGAAUAUACUUCAAUGAGAUCAGGCAAAGGUUUGAUUAGAAGAAUUUGAGCUUUAAUAUCCUUAUAAGAUUCGUUCAGGCCCGUAAGAAAUCUCAUGACCCAAUCCAUUUUCUGAUUAUCAACUACAGUGCGAAGUCCUCCACAAGUGCAAUUAGGUAUGGAUUCAUAAUUCAUUAAUUCAUCAAGGAGAGUUUUGUAUUUCGGAAAGUAAACGCUCACAGCAUCUUGGUUUUGCAUUAAGUUGCUGAUGGCUUGUUUUACCUCAUAAAUUCGUGGGGCAUUUUGUUGAGUCAAUCGAUGUUCUAGUUCCAGCCAUAGCUCUCUAGCAGUUUCUGCAUAAAGAGUGCAGGAUUUUACUUCCAUAGACAUGGUGUUUUGUAGCCAGGCUAUCACAAGAUCAUUGCAGCGGAGCCAGUGUUCUAUCAGAAAGCUACUGGGGUCUGGCUGUGUUAGGCUUCCAUUAAUGAACCCAAGUUUGUUUUUAAUUCUGAGGGCCCUCUUCAUGGAUCUUGCCCAUGCAUAGUAGUUGGUGUUAUCAAGUAUAUGAGUGACCAAUAUUGUCCCAGAGCUAUCACUUGCACUUAUAUAGUAUGGACUGUGGGGAUGAGCAGGGUCAUCAGGAUUUGGUGUGGAGUACGUGUUCUGGUAUUGUUGAGGAUUUGGAUUGAGGUUUUGAUGUGCAGUAGAUUGGGAGUUUGGGUUGAGGUCUUCAUGCGUGGCAGAUUGGGUAUCUGUGCUGUGAUUUUCAGCCAUUGUUAUGGCUUUGAUACCAUAUUACAAAAUGGAGAUAUGAAUGAAGAAGAAUAAUGAGGCUAUUGCAGCACAUUAAUGGAGAAGAAGGAAUGAUUAUUAUUGCUCCCAAAUCCUU
rnacentral:lncRNA from 1 species